AUGAGUGCGUGCAAGUGUGUGUGUGUGUGUGCGCGCGCGCGCGCGCGCGUGCGCGAGUGCACAUGCACGUGUUGUGUUGUGUUUCCUCCAUAAGAAAUUCUUUUCCUGGAUUUGUGAUCCCUGUGGAACAUUAAGAACCUCUCCGAUUGAAUCUCAGGGAGGAACCGGAGGUAUGAAUGACAACUGUUUGAGAAGAAGGUCCCAAAUCCCUCUCUUAAAACCUUGGGAUUGUGCUUGAGACUCAGCCCCGAUGUGUUCCGUGGUGAGUCACUCACCUGGUUUACCCACACUGUAUGCUCCCCCUACCUGCCCCUACCUUGUCAUAAGUGCUGAGGAUUGAACCCAUGGCCUCGUUGCAUGUCAGGUGCUGGGAACAUUAAAUCUUCAUGUCUGGAGGACAAGAAAACUAAAAGUACUCAUUGUUCAGUAGCCACUGAGGCUGAUGGGAGGCGGGACUGUGGAUUCACGUGGCUGACGAUGACUGGUCUUCCUGGCCAUAUUACUUUCUCUUUCUUUUAUCAAGUACAGACAUGGCGCCUGCCUGGAGUGGUGGUAUGAGUGCCCAAUCUCAACGAAACAACCAAGGCCACCUGUUCCCAUUUUUUUUUAUUGCUGUUGUUACAUGUGUAUAUGUGACAUAUGUGCAUGUAUGUUCAUGUGUUUGUGGGUACACAUUGUAUGCCGGUGUGUGUGGAUAUGUCUCUACGUGGCCAUUGAAGAAAUUAAAACAGGAAGACUCGAUUGUUAUCGAGUUAUAGUUUCUUUGUGUUGGUAAACCUACAGAAAGAGAUGCACACAGUGAAUGGGGCAGAGAAACUGCAUUAGUAGCCAUUGGCUACUUAGCAAAUGUUUGGCUAUGCUAUUUCAUAUUUCAGCACGGACCUUCUAUAAAUAAGGAGGUGUUUCUAUUAAGUUCUUCAAAAAUAUAUAUAUAUAUUUUUUUUUAAAAUGAGA
rnacentral:lncRNA from 1 species